rnacentral:rRNA from 1 species
GGUUCGAUUAUGCCUGGGAUUUUCGAACGCUGGCGGGAUGCUUUACACAUGCAAGUCGAACGGUGUGCACGACUGGUCUGGUGGCGAGUGGAGAAACGGUAUAAUGUAUCGGAACGCCUAGUAGCGGGGAUAACUACGAAAAGGUAGCUAAUACCGCACACACUUCGGGGAAAGCAGAUCUUCGGCCUCUGCACUAUUAGAGCGGCCGAUAUCGAGCUAGUUGGUGGGGUGGCUCACUCAAGGCGACGAUCCGUAGCUAUCGAGAGGACGACCGGCCACAUCGGGACUGAGACACGGCCCAGACUCCUACGCCGAGGCAGCAGUGGGGAAUUUUGGACAAUGGGGAAACCCUGAUCCGUGCCAUCCUGCGUGCGAUGAAGGCCUUGGGUUGUAAAGCACUUUGGCAGGAAAAGAAACGGCACGGAGCAAAUACCUCGUGCAACUGACGGUACCUCGUGAAAGAAUAAGCACCGGCGACCAUAUGCCAGCAGCCGCGGUAAUACGUAGGUGUUAAUCGGAAUUCAUUGGGCGUAAAAGCGGUGCAGGCGGUCUGGAAAGAAAGAUGUGAAAUCCCAGAGCUUGAACUUUGGAACUGCAUUUUUAACUACCGAGCUGGAGUGUGUCAGAGGGAGGUGGAAUUCCGCGUAGCAGUGAAAUGUGUAGAGAGGAGGAAUAAUUGAUGGCGAAGGCAGCCUCCCUGAUAACACUGACGCUCAUGCACGAAAGCGUAGAGCAAACAGGAUUAGAUACAUUCUGGUAGUCCACGCCCUAAACGAUGUCAACUAGCUGUUGGGGCCUUCGGCCUUGUAGCGCAGCUAACGCGUGAAGUUGACCGCCUGGGGAGUACGGUCAAGAUUAAAACCCGUGCGAAUUGACGGGACCCGCACAAGCGGUGGAUGAAGGGAUUAAUUCAUGCAACGCGAAAAACCUUACCUACCCUUGACAUGUCUGGAAUCCCGAAGAGAUUUAUGCUCGCAAGAGAACCGGAACACAGGUGCUGCAUGGCUGUCGUCAGCUCGUGUCGUGAGAUGUUGGGUUAAGUCCCGCAACGAGCGUCCUGUCAUUAGUUGCUACGAAAGGGCACUCUAAUGAGACUGCCGGUGACAAACCGGAGGAAGGUGGGGAUGACGUCAAGUCCUCAUGGCCCUGCGGGUAGGGCUUCACACGUCAUACAAUGGUCGGGACAGAGGGCCGCCAACCCGCGAGGGGGAGCCAACUCAGAAACCUGAUCGUAGUCCGGAUCGCAGUCUGCAACUCGACUGCGUAGUCGGAAUCAUGCAGGGACUCCUGCGGAUCAGCAAGGUCGCGGUGAAUACGUUCCUGGCCUUGUACACACCGCCCGUCACCAUGGGAGUGGGUUUACCAGCGGAGCAGCCUAACCGCAGGAGGGCGAUUACCACUGUAGGAUUCAUGACUGGGGUGGUUGCAACAAGGU